GAUGAACGCUGGCGGCGUGCUUAACACAUGCAAGUCGAACGAAGAACUUUUGACAGAGGAUUCGUCCAAUGAAGGAAGUUUCUUAGUGGCGGACGGGUGAGUAACGCGUGAGGAACCUGCCUUGGAGUGGGGAAUAACACAGGGAAACUUGUGCUAAUACCGCAUAAAGCAGUUGGGUCGCAUGACUCUGACUGCCAAAGAUUUAUCGCUCUGAGAUGGACUCGCGUCUGAUUAGCUAGUUGGUGAGGUAAUGGCCCACCAAGGCGACGAUCAGUAGCCGGACUGAGAGGUUGGCCGGCCACAUUGGGACUGAGAUACGGCCCAGACUCCUACGGGAGGCAGCAGUGGGGAAUAUUGGGCAAUGGGCGAAAGCCUGACCCAGCAACGCCGCGUGAAGGAAGAAGGCUUUCGGGUUGUAAACUUCUUUUGUCAGGGACGAAAAAAAUGACGGUACCUGACGAAUAAGCCACGGCUAACUACGUG
rnacentral:rRNA from 1 species